rnacentral:rRNA from 1 species
CCCCUAGAUGUUCUGGGCCGCACGCGCGCUACACUGAACAGUUCAACAAGUCUUAACCUUGGCCGAUAGGUCUGGGUAAUCUUUGAACGCUGUUCGUGAUGGGGAUAGACUUUUGCAAUUUUUGGUCUUCAACGAGGAAUUCCUAGUAAACGCAAGUCAUCAACUUGCAUUGAUUACGUCCCUGCCCUUUGUACACACCGCCCGUCGCACCUACCGAUUGAAUGGUCCGGUGAAGCCUCCGGAUUGGCGCGCACCUCGGUGCCGCCGAGAAGUUGGCUAAACCUUACCAUUUAGAGGAAGGUGAAGUCGUAACA